UACGAAGGGGGGCUAGCGUUGUUCGGAUUUACUGGGCGUAAAGCGCACGUAGGCGGAUUGUUAAGUGAGGGGUGAAAUCCCAGGGCUCAACCCUGGAACUGCCUUUCAUACUGGCAAUCUCGAGUCCGGAAGAGGUGAGUGGAACUCCUAGUGUAGAGGUGGAAUUCGUAGAUAUUAGGAAGAACACCAGUGGCGAAGGCGGCUCACUGGUCCGGUACUGACGCUGAGGUGCGAAAGCGUGGGGGAGCAAACAGG
rnacentral:rRNA from 1 species